CUAGAAAACCCCAUGGACAAAGGGCCAUGAGGUCACAUAGAGUUGGAUACUACUGAACAACUGAACAACAGUGUUAGCUUUACCACGAAUUCCACUAAGCCGUUGUUUGAACCAGUAAGAAACUUUAUUAACAGCCUGGGAAGACCCGGACGUCCCACACGUGGGAGCACAUGUGUCAACAGAUGCACACCUUUUUAUUCCCUAUUCCCGAUUCAAAUUUCCCUCCCCUGUUUCUCUAUUGGCUAGGUAUUAUGGAGGUUACAGCCUGGCCGAAGCACCUAAUUUCCCCAUGUGAGUCUCCGUCCCUAAUUCCCACUCCCCACCAUUUGGGGACCCAGGCCCUCAUCUGCUUUCGCUUUUAUUUGGGAACACCCCUUUUGAUGUUAAUCUAUACCUAGCCUCACUUACCAAUAGUGUUUUCUUAUUCUAAUUUAUGGCUUCCUUUGUUCGACUUCCACCUAACCCUUAGAUUGACUUUUGUGGAAAUGAAAACUAGCUAUUUCUCAUAUUCCCUCCCAGUUCAAACUGACUCCAAUGCUCUAUAGGUGUCCACAUCCUGAUGAAUGAUGUGCAGAAAUAACCUCCCCAGCCACAUUUUCCACAACAGCAAAUACAUCAAGUUAUAUUACUUAGACCAAUUCUAAUGUGACUUGUAGCUCUAAAUCUUAUGAAAUAGGUGAACACAGGCCCAUGAAGGGUCAAAUAAUAUGUGAUCAUCUCAAAACUCAAACUAUUGAUAGCCCAUUGUUGGAAAGAGGAAGUCAGUGGUCUGCAUGAAUAAUUCCUUUGGGAAAAUCCUGAGCCAUAUUGGGGUAUGACCUCUUCUUGGCUAGAUGAUAAGGAAAGAAAAAAAAAGGCCCAAACAAAAUAAACUACAAGGAAUUGAAAUCCCUCCCCAAGAGACUGGAUAAUGUAGUUUCAGGGAAUAUCUCUGGGAGGAGAUAAUCAGUGUGAUCAAGGAAGGCUUCAUCAGUUCCAGAAGGAAAUCUUCAGAGACUUUCUUCCUGCCAUACAUGAAGGACCAAAGGAGACCAAGCCUGAAGCUUGUGAGUCAGAGCUCACAAUGAAGCUUAAAAUGAUCAAUCAAACUUUGACAAAGCUCCCAAUUACUGCCUGUGUGCCGGAAGUGAAGUGAAUCAAAGAUUGUAGAACCUGUUCCCAGCAUAGAACUUUGGCUCUGUGCCCUAGGAGAGGUGGCCAAGGCCCCCAAAGACUUGACUCCAGAAGUGCAGUAUUGUAAGAUUUGUGGGUUUCUUCUCUAGGGGAAACCACUAAAGAUUGUUUGUAAUCCACCUUCCCAUUUGUGAUUUAAGUAUAUAAUCUCUGUCUUCACUUCUGCUAGGUGGAAUUCUGAUCAGGAGAAUUCCUGAUUUGCAAAUCUGUUCCUCAUAAUGAACCUAAUUGAUUAAAGGACUACCUGAUUACUGGCA